rnacentral:lncRNA from 1 species
CGUUCUUGGUGCUUCCGGCACCUUUCUUGUGAGCGGACUCAAUCGUCAACGGAGCAUUCAAUGGAAAUGAGACGGUGACCUUGGGAGGGACGUGAAUGGUUCCAAAGUCUCCUCUGAGAAAAGUGGAUGACGACGAUGAGCUGGAACCUAGUGAUAGCCCUCUAAACCCUACUACUAAAUCCAAACUCAUGCUAGCCACUGCCAUUACUCCCGCCAAAUCCACAAUUUCUCGAGUUAAAAGGGAAAAAAAAAAAUUAGUCAGGGUUUAGGAACUUCUAGCCAAUUUCUGUGCGCAGCAGCAGCAAUUAUGUGGUUGAGUUUUUAGGGAUCUACUUGCAAUUACC